UGUAAGAACUUAUAUAAGUUUAAUUUCUUAUUUCUCAAGAGAAGUAGAUAUACAAUUGCAUAUUCUUGUGCAACAUUCUUGCCUUCAGGUUUUGGAGGAGGAUUCUGAGGAAGAUUAAUUGAGAUUAGACAAUCCAGCUGAGUAUAUAUUUUUCUGAAGGGUUCUUACACAUGGAAGAGGUCUCCCUCUUUUCUUUUUAAAGUGGCUUUCCACUUGUGUAGGCAUAUAGCUCUCACUCACACUACGGGGUUUAAUUUGAGAAAUUUGGGCACCAAUGGGAUCGGUUUUUCUAUCUGGCGAUCAUCUUCAUUCUUCAUGCAGUGUUCCACCUAUGAAAACAUUGAUAUUUUCAUCAACACCCACCCAUCAGAGCCUUUACUGUUAUGGACGUUAAAAAUAGGACCAUCCUCUAAAUAUUCUACACUCGACUCCUCAAAUAGACUGGUCAACUCCUUCUUGAUGGAAUACUCUAGAAACUGGACCUUCCUGUGAUACCUAGCACACACCCUAUCCUCCAGACACGGCCAGAAAAAUAAAAGAAAAAACCCUGAACGUAUCACCUCGACAAUUUAAAGAAUGUUUG
rnacentral:lncRNA from 1 species